AUGGCUGUCGUCAGCUCGUGUCGUGAGAUGUUAGGUUAAGUCCUGCAACGAGCGCAACCCCUAUAUUUAGUUGCCAGCACAUAAUGGUGGGGACUCUAAAUAGACUGCCCGGAAUAACCGGGAGGAAGGUGGGGAUGAUGUCAAGUCAGUAUGUCCCUUAUACCCAGGGCUACACACGUGUUACAAUGGAUGGUACAAAAAGUAGCAAUUCCGCGAGGAGGAGCCAAUCUUUAAAACUAUCCCCAGUUCAGAUUGAAGUCUGAAAUUCGACUUCAUGAAGCAGGAAUCGCUAGUAAUCGUAGGUCAGCACACUACGGUGAAUACGUUCCCGGGUCUUGUACACACCGCCCGUCAAGUCAUGGAAGUCUGCAGUACCCAAAGAUAGUAUUCUAACCGCAAGGAGGAAGCUGUUUAAGGUAAGGCAGGUAACUAGGACUAAGUCGUAACAAGGUAGCCGUACCGGAAGGUGCGGCUGGAUCACCUCCUUUCAGGGAGUAAUCUUCUUUAUUUUAAUAAAGUAAGAUAUGGUCGAAAUCUAAAUCUAUGAUUUGGAUUUUAAACUUCAGAAUUAAUAGACAGGUUCUACAUAGUGUUUUAUUUAGAGUUUAUAAAAGGGGCUUAUAGCUCAGCUGGUUAGAGCGCAUCUCUGAUAAGGAUGAGGUCCGUGGUUCGAGUCCACGUAGGCCCACCAAUUCAAAAAAAUUGGGGCUGUAGCUCAGUUGGGAGAGCAAUUCCCUUGCACGGAAUAGGUCGCAGGUUCAAUCCCUGUCAGCUCCACAAAAUUUAGAUUUUAGAUAUUUGACAAUUUGGAAAUUUAACGCGGGUAACAGAGUUAUGCUUUAUAUUUUUAUAACUCUGCUACUAAACAACUGUGUCAUAGCUAUUUAUGAUUUUAAUCCUGUAGCUGUGAUACAAAUCAAUUGUAUUGAUCAAAUCCUAAUUCCGAAUGGGGCAACCCAUUUUUUGAUCAAUAUUUGUAUUAAUUAGAAUAGUUUUCAAUUAUUCUGAUUAAUGCUGAAUCAUUAAAACACUCAAGUCAUAUAAGAACUUGAAAAAAGCUACUAAGAGCACACGGAGGAUGCCUUGGUACAUGGAGGCGAUGAAGGACGUGGUAAGCUGCGAUAAGCUUCGGGUAGGUGCACACAACUGCUAAUCCGGAGAUUUCCGAAUGGGGAAACCCAA
rnacentral:sRNA from 1 species